rnacentral:rRNA from 1 species
AUGGAAAUCAACGAAGCAUGCAAAGUAAAGGAGCAUAACAAAUACCACAACCAUAAAGACAAACUGGUGCCCAGGUUCAAGGAAGUAUACGAAAUAUUACUCAGUGAAAAAUUCGAAAAGGAAAAGACUAAAUGGGAAGUUCAAUUUUUAAAGAACGUUCCAAAGGUGAACAAAGGUGAAACCCCGUUUGUUGUUCUAAGGUCCGCGCACCUAUUUGAUGGCAACCACUUCGUCGAAGCGAUAGAUAAUUUUGAUGAUGGCACGGAACAAUGGAAAGCACAACAACUGUGCAGGCUACUAUUUAGCGAUUAG